GCGGACAGAAGGGAGCUUGCUCCCGGACGUUAGCGGCGGACGGGUGAGUAACACGUAGGUAACCUGCCCCUUAGACUGGGAUAACUCCGGGAAACCGGAGCUAAUACGGGAUAAUAAAGAGAAUCACCUGAUUUUCUUUUGAAAGACGGUUUCGGCUGUCACUAAGGGAUGGGCCUGCGGCGCAUUAGCUAGUUGGUAAGGUAACGGCUUACCAAGGCGACGAUGCGUAACCGACCUGAGAGGGUGAUCGGCCACACUGGGACUGAAACACGGCCCAGACUCCUACGGGAGGCAGCAGUAGGGAAUCUUCCGCAAUGGACGAAAGUCUGACGGAACAACGCCGCGUGAGUGAGGAAGGCCUUCGGGUCGUAAAGCUCUGUUGUGAGGGAAGAACAAGUACCGGGGUAACUACCGGUACCUUGACGGUACCUCACCAGAAAGCCACGGCUAACUACGUGCCAGCAGCCGCGGUAAUACGUAGGUGGCAAGCGUUGUCCGGAAUUAUUGGGCGUAAAGCGCGCGCAGGCGGCUUCUUAAGUCUGAUGUGAAAUCUCGGGGCUCAACCCCGAGCGGCCAUUGGAAACUGGGAAGCUUGAGUGCAGAAGAGGAGAGUGGAAUUCCACGUGUAGCGGUGAAAUGCGUAGAUAUGUGGAGGAACACCAGUGGCGAAGGCGACUCUCUGGUCUGUAACUGACGCUGAGGCGCGAAAGCGUGGGGAGCAAACAGGAUUAGAUACCCUGGUAGUCCACGCCGUAAACGAUGAGUGCUAGUGUUAGGGGUUU
rnacentral:rRNA from 1 species